rnacentral:rRNA from 1 species
AUUGAACGCUGGCGGCAGGCCUAACACAUGCAAGUCGAGCGGAUGACGGGAGCUUGCUCCUUGAUUCAGCGGCGGACGGGUGAGUAAUGCCUAGGAAUCUGCCUGGUAGUGGGGGACAACGUUUCGAAAGGAACGCUAAUACCGCAUACGUCCUACGGGAGAAAGCAGGGGACCUUCGGGCCUUGCGCUAAUAGAUGAGCCUAGGUCGGAUUAGCUAGUUGGUGAGGUAAUGGCUCACCAAGGCGACGAUCCGUAACUGGUCUGAGAGGAUGAUCAGUCACACUGGAACUGAGACACGGUCCAGACUCCUACGGGAGGCAGCAGUGGGGAAUAUUGGACAAUGGGCGAAAGCCUGAUCCAGCCAUGCCGCGUGUGUGAAGAAGGUCUUCGGAUUGUAAAGCACUUUAAGUUGGGAGGAAGGGUUGUAGAUUAAUACUCUGCAAUUUUGACGUUACCGACAGAAUAAGCACCGGCUAACUCUGUGCCAGCAGCCGCAGUAAUAC